GGGGAUUUAGCUCUGCGGCAUAAGCACCUGCCUUGCAAGCAGGUGGUCGUUGAGUUUAAUCCCCG
rfam:Cavia porcellus supercont2_61 genomic scaffold, whole genome shotgun sequence.